AUUGAUUUGAAAUGACCCUCUCAUUCACCAUCUCUCGUCUUUUUUCUGGAAACCCGAUUCUAAUUUUAGACUGCAUUUUCGGAGAAAAAGGUCACGUGAGUUUAAGCUACUCAUUAAGGCUGGAGACAUGGCGUUUAACGGUCGAAGGUAUUUCUAAGGAAUAAAAUCGUUUUGUUUUGCUUGCAGAUGGAAGGAGACGAAAAAAUCUUUAUGAGAAAAUACAUCUCGGAAUAUCUGCUGUUCAAAACUACAAAGGAUGGAGUCGGAUGAAAUCUGCAUGCCAAAACCACAGUUAUGUGAUUGGUACGAGCCCAGAUGUUCAAGUUUUGCUAACAUACAGCAGUGGUGUUUGACAGACUUUCCACAGCAGUGUUAUGGAGGCAAAAUCAGAUUACUGUGAUGUGACCAGGCCAAGAUGUUAAAAUUUUACAAGCAUACUGAUGUGAUGUGGGCCAGAUUUUUCACAGCAGAGCAAUAUGUACAUGCCAAGAUGCUAAUUUUUUACAAGCAUAUUGAAGGAGUUGUUAUUACAAGCAUACUGAAGUGAUGUGUGCUCCACAGCAGUAUAUUAUCGAAAGAAAAUCAGUAUAUACUUUAAAAAUACUU
rnacentral:lncRNA from 1 species